CUGGACUAUGCCCAAGUGAGUCCUUGGAGGGGACCCACUGGAGCUCCCCACUAUAGAUUUUUUGUUUCCGGAUAUUAAUACUGGGAAAGGGGUGAUUCAACUAGGACAGUAUUUGCAAGGAUCUGAUAAGGGAGACACUGUAGAACAUAAAUACAUGAUGGUUACCUCAGAAAAGAUAUAAACGCCUGGUAAAAUCUGGGUGGGCUGACUGAAGAAGAAGUAAUUGGAGAAUGCACAGUAACAUACACAAUUUAGCAGCAAAGGUGGGCUCUUAUUGAGUCACAUGGGACCUUGCUGAGACCCAAUCCCAACGAGCCUAGUGAAACUCUCUGGUGAUGAUGUCUGCAAAUAGCAGGGAGACUGAGCAGCAUUUGUAAUGCAAUGACAGACAAUUCCCCAAUAGUACCCCAUUCCUUUAUUAGGUGUCCUCAAGUCAUUUAGCAUCCAGAUUUAUCCAGGCAUUUCCAAAGGCAAGUCUUAGUCUUUGACUAGAAAUUCAUCUGAAAAAAAGUUUCUGGGAAGGAGGCCCCAGGUAAACAUUCUUCCCCAAAUAACAUUUCAAUGAGGACUCAGUGAGGAUCAGAAUUCAGAAGAUGGCAGAACCCUCCACAUGUUUUUCUAAGUCACAGAUUUGGUGAACAUUUUAUUCUUUCUCUUUUUGAUCAUUACUAGUGGGGCAAAUGAAGCAAGGUAGGGUGGGGUGAUGGAAGGGGAGAAUUGCAUAAAAUCAGUGUUAGGAUGAUCUGCCCCAGAAGGCAUGUAUUCCUCUUAGACGCUCAGCUGUGGCAUAAAACAUUCCAUGUGGACUUUGAAUUAGAAUGAGCGUGGGGGCGGGGACAAAGAUCAACCUGAAAGCCAAACGGAGUCAUUGACCGAUGGUGUUAAGCUUGAGAAAGUUUGCAGAUGGCCAGCUCUCCUACUGACAUCCCACAGAAAGCCAGGCUUGAUCUAUUGUGGUUAGGUGGAGUUUCUCCUGCCAGGGAAAAUACAGUUGCUAGGAGAAUGGGCUUUGGAUGUUAUAACUCUGAAGAAGUUUCAUGACUCUUGCUACUAGAGAUAGGAAGGCAACCUGGGGCCAGGGCUGGAGCAGACAAUUUCCUUACUCAGCAGCUGAAGCGGGGAGCUGAAAGAAGGAUCCAAAAAAUCAGAGAAGAGUUGUAAGUUAAGUGGAAAACCAUGACCCAAAGGUCAAUACAAGGAUCAGCACACCAAAGUGACCAAAAGCAGCUACUGAAGAUGUGACCCAGGACCAGAAAACAAAGCAACAAGGAAAGAGAGGAGUAAGAGCAAACUGUGAAGAAUAAACUGAGAGGUGUCUGAAGAUAGUCAAGGACAAGAGCCUGGGGUGUGACGGACACAUAGCUGGAUGUGUGAGACUACGGGACCAGGAGCUCAAGAGGCCUAGGCAGCAAGGUGCAGGCCAGGGCAAAACGUGCAUCAGCAAUAAAAUAGAUUUGGUGGGUGGACACAUUAGGAGUACUCAUAUAAGAACUUUCCUAUUUGGAGAUGCCCAGAUCAUGCUCUACCCUUGGGUUUAGAAAUUCUGAGCAGCCAAAUGUGAAUGGUUUGCUCUGGAUAAGUCCUUUUCAUUAUAGCCAAUUGGAACCAUUUGAAUUCACACUCCUAAUUACCUGCUUCUGGUUGCUGUGUCUAAACCAUGUCUGGACCAACAUAGCUUCUGGUACUCUACACUCCACCAUGGGUCUUGGUCCAGCAUCACUGGCAGGGACAUACCAGCCCUGUUCAUAGGACUGGAAUAAAAUCCAGAAGUAAGUUGUCUCAGGACCUCUGUUUAAUAACAGGUUAGAAACAACUCCUGUAGGUAUGGUUGUGGGAUCCUGGCCUGGGACCAGGAGCAUAUAAAUCUGCAACAAUUACCACUGGGUAGGCCUUAGCAAGGAUUACUAUGAGGUUCAGCAACAAAGCUGCAAGAACUAGUGGUGGGGACUUUGUUCCUAAAGUGCAGUGUCCCUGGUGCCAAGUGCUUGUGGGCAACCUAGAGCCGCAUCUGAUGUAGGAAGACUUCAUUGUCCUGAAAUGGAAUGUCUAGAAACUGUUAAGGAGCUGGAGGUCUAUAAGCUGUUGUUUGGUUUAAGAGUUUUCUUACACAGUAUCUUCUCUUUGUGGGACAACGUCUAGCUUUCAAGGUGUCUCAAAACUAACAGGUGUUGACCCGGCGUGGUGGCUCACGCCUGUAAUCCCAGCACUUUGGGACGCCGAGGUGGGUGGAUCACCUGAGGUCAGAAGUUCAAGACCAGCCUGGCCAACAUGGUGAAACCCCGCCUCUACUAAAAAUACAAAAAAUAGCCGGGUGUAGCAGCAUGCACCUGUAAUCCCAGCUACUCAGGAGGCUGAGUCAGGAGAAACACUUGAACCUGGGAGGCGGAGGUUGUAGUGAGCUGAGAUCGUGCCACUGCACUCCAGCCUGGGCAGCAGAGCAAGACUCCAUCUCAAAAAACAAAACAAAACAAAAACAGGUGUUAAUGAGGAACUUGUAAUUUUUGGAGGUGAGUAGAGAAAGUGAAAGAACAGCACUAAAAGUAACUGUGAUGAAUGAGUGUUGUGCCUCUACUAUCAAGCAAUACCAUUAUCUUCCUCUUUAAACUUUGUUAUUUUAGCCAAUAGUGUCAUCAUUUUCUAAUUCCUUUUUUUUUUUUUUGGGACAGAGUCUAGCUCUGUCGCCAGGUUGGAGUACAGUGGCGCAAUCUCCACUCACUGCAACCUCUGCCUUCCGGG
rnacentral:lncRNA from 1 species